UGGUGGAGUGAUUUGUCUGGUUAAUUCCGAUAACGAACGAGACUCUAGCCUACUAACUAGUGAGCUAGAUCAUCUCGUCUGGUUCCACUUCUUAGAGGGACAAGCGGUUUUUCAGCCGCACGAAAUUGAGCAAUAACA
rnacentral:rRNA from 1 species